rnacentral:tRNA from 1 species
GGGCCCGUAGCUCAGUUGGUUAGAGCGCGCGCCUGAUAAGCGCGAGGUCGGCAGUCCGAUUCUGCCCGGGCCCA